rnacentral:lncRNA from 1 species
AGGAGCCCACCUGGAGAACAAGUGAAAACAGUUCAAGCUUUAAGGGAAAGGAAGACAGUCCAAACUUCAGCAGUCAGGCACUUGAAAAACAAGGGAAAAUGGUUCAGGUUUCAAGGGAAAAUAGUUUCAAGUAACAAGAGAAGAUGGUUCAAGUUCAGCAAUUAGGCGCCCACCUGGAGAACAAGGGAAAACAGCUCAAGUUUCAAAGGAAGACAAUUCAAGUUCAGCAAUCAGACGCCCACCUGGAGAACAAGGGAAAGCAACUCAAGUUUCGAAGGAAGACAUGUCAAGUUCAGCAAUUAGGUGCCCACCUGGAAAAUAAGGGAAAAUAACUCAAGUUUCAGGGAAAAGCAGAUCGAGUUUCAGCAGUCAGGCGCCCCCUUGGAGAACAAGGGAAAGCAGCUCAAGUUUCAGGGAAAAGCAGUUCGAGUUUUAGCAAUCAAGCGUCCACUUGGAGAACAAGGGAAAGCAGUUCAAGUGUUGGCAAGCAGGCACCUACCUGGAAAACAAGGGAAUUCACUUCAGAAUGCAAUUCAAGUCCGCAACAAAGGAAGCUCAGCUCGAGAGUACAGGUCAGCAGUUCAAGAUGCACAACAGAGCCCCAGAAGCUGCAAGAUCAAGAUAUGUAGUUAGGACUCUUGUAAUCCAUAGAUCACAGUUUAAUCUAGCUUCUUUUUAUUUAUUUUGUCUCAGUGUAAUAAGGAGAUCUGCAAGCAGUAGCAACAGUGAAAUCACAGUUUCCCGAUGGUCUCAACUACCAAAACUUGCCGAACUACACUGACCUGAUUCCUUUAUAGCCAAGGAUAUGUAGGAAACCUCGAAAGCAAGGUUCGGUCAAAUCUUUCAAAAAAUGCUUCCCACGGAGUAUUCAAACGGGCAAAAAUUACUCGUAUCCGCUCACUUUAUCUUUACCCGAAAACUCUUCUUGUUUCCGAAAAAAGAGGAGCAACUGUGAGCACGUGAUUUUUGCCCUAUUUGAACUACUCCUACAAAUUAAAGAAAAGGAGUUUUUUCUAAUUGUUUGCAAUUUUAUAGGAUUUUUGUAGGAAUUUUUGUUAAAUUAUUGCAUUUUCGUGCAUGUUUACUUUUAUUAAAACAAUAAAAAAUACCAAAAAUACCAUGCAUUGCACUUAGAUUUUGCGUUCACAUUUUUAGGAUUAAUUAAUUAAUUAGUUGUUUUAUUAAAAAUAAAAAUCACAAAAAUGGCUCACUUUUACAUUUUAAUUUUUAAUUUUAGGUUAGUAAAUUUUAUCUUUUAAUCUUGGAGUAACUAAUUUUUAUAAAUAUUAUAAUCAGAUAAUUAGCUUUAUUUUACAUUAGAUUAUUUAGAGUUUAAUUUAGUGUUUUAUUAAUUAGGAAAAAGAAACAAAGAAAAAACAAAACAAAAGGUUUUUCGAAUUGGGCCACCCAAGAAACCCAAUCUGGUGGCCCAAAACCCCUUUUUCAACCCAAAAUCCGCCUAAAUACAUCUCCUACCCAGCCCAACAUACCCCUAACCCGCGACCCGCCCGUCUGACCUACUCCACUCCCCUAACUGAUCUCAGCCCUCCAUCCCAACCCAUCCAACGGCCCAUGUCUUAUCUCACCUUCAUAUAUAAUCCUCUUUAUAACACAAAACAACACCCUAGACCUAAUCCCAUCACAACCAAAAUGGCGCCCACCCCAACUCCGAUUCUUCCUCGCCCAAGCUCGCCCAAACUCGUCCGAGUUUCAGGUAAGUUCAUCUCUAAAAUCUGCACAUGGCCACCUCGUCUCCAUCCCUCUUCCACGUCACCAAACCCUAAUGGUCUCUAACAAAAGAAUAUUCCAAAUCGACAACUACACUCCCUCACUUGCCUGUUUACAAGCUAUAUCACGCGAUUCGAAAGCUCUAGAAGACGUGUGUUUGAUGAGUGAGAGGCGUCAGAUCGAUCUCAUUCAAUUCGAGCCUCACAUUCAUCAUGUGCUCGUUUUCAAAAGGGCCUUAUCCGUUUUCUUGAAGAGGAGGAAGGAAUCUGGAGGUAAAAUAUAUAAAAAGGGAUUUUCGGAAAGAAAAAAAAAAGGAAUAAGGGAUUUUAGGUCAGAGAUUUUUUUGAGAGAAAAGAAAAAUACAGAGUUUUAGUUUUGAUUUUUCAAUCCUUUUUCUUCUUCUGAUUUUUUAGGGAUACAGAAAAAAGACAAAAAAAAAACAAAAAAAUAAGUUGCUUAUUUUCGAUCUAUUCUGCUCAAAUCCGAAAAAUGGGUUCUGUUAUUGGUCCUUGAUUUUGAAUUUGUUUUCUUAAGCAUGGAAAUUGUUUGAAGUUUUGAAGCUGAGAUUGAGGCGUCGCUCGGGUUUCUGCUCUUGCUUUCUUUUUGAAUCUUGUUGCUGCUCAUUUCGAUUUUUGUCAUCGAACUUCACUCGUAGUUUGUAUUCAAGCAAAGCUAAUACAGGUUCAUUGUUGGCUCGGUUUCAUUUUAUUUUUUAUUUUUACUACUGUAG